GAUGAACGCUGGCGGCGUGCCUAAUACAUGCAAGUCGAGCGAACAGACGAGGAGCUUGCUCCUCUGACGUUAGCGGCGGACGGGUGAGUAACACGUGGAUAACCUACCUAUAAGACUGGGAUAACUUCGGGAAACCGGAGCUAAUACCGGAUAAUAUAUUGAACCGCAUGGUUCAAUAGUGAAAGACGGUUUUGCUGUCACUUAUAGAUGGAUCCGCGCCGCAUUAGCUAGUUGGUAAGGUAACGGCUUACCAAGGCAACGAUGCGUAGCCGACCUGAGAGGGUGAUCGGCCACACUGGAACUGAGACACGGUCCAGACUCCUGCGGGAGGCAGCAGUAGGGAAUCUUCCGCAAUGGGCGAAAGCUUGACGGAGCAACGCCGCGUGAGUGAUGAAGGUCUUCGGAUCGUAAAGCUCUGUUAUUAGGGAAGAACAAAUGUGUAAGUAACUAUGCACGUCUUGACGGUACCUAAUCAGAAAGCCACGGCUAACUACGUG
rnacentral:rRNA from 1 species